rnacentral:rRNA from 1 species
CGUAGGGCGCAAGCGUUGUCCGGAAUUAUUGGGCGUAAAGAGCUCGUAGGCGGCUUGUCACGUCGGAUGUGAAAGCCCGGGGCUUAACCCCGGGUCUGCAUUCGAUACGGGCUAGCUAGAGUGUGGUAGGGGAGAUCGGAAUUCCUGGUGUAGCGGUGAAAUGCGCAGAUAUCAGGAGGAACACCGGUGACGAAGGCGGAUCUCUGGGCCAUUACUGACGCUGAGGAGCGAAAGCGUGGGGAGCGAACAGGAUUAGAUACCCUGGUAGUCCACGCCGUAAACGUUGGGAACUAGGUGUUGGCGACAUUCCACGUCGUCGGUGCCGCAGCUAACGCAUUAAGUUCCCCGCCUGGGGAGUACGGCCGCAAGGCUA